AUGCACAUGCACAUCGAACAGCAACGGGGAUCGGCCGGGGAAAGCCUAGUGGCCGCCGAAGUGCGCCGGCGACCGGGAUGUCUUGUUUUGCGCACGGCCGGUGAUCGGGCGAGGUGCGGUCGACGGGAUGGCACGCGGCGCGGGAAAAGGAGAGGAAUCUCCCUUUGCCGGAGAGGCGACGCCGAUGGGACGAUCGACGCGUCCGAGGUCGACCGGGCCGCGGCAGGCGCGGGUGGCGCCACAGCGGCGCUACCUCGCCAUCGGGACGGCGACGCCUGGUCGAUCGUGCCCGGCGGGCGCUUCGGCGCAGCUCAUCGCUGCCUUUGCCUCGUCUCCGUCAGGCGACGGGCCAGCUCGCUGCUUGAUCGGCGCGUGCAUGCACAUGCUUCCUCCUCGCCGGCUGGCUGCUCUGUUGCCGCUACAGCGGCACCGCUGAUCAAGCGAGUGUCUCCCGCUGAACCUGAAGCUUUUUCUCAGAGUGACUAG
rnacentral:rRNA from 1 species